UGUUCGAUGGUUCUGUCCCGAGCACUCCAGCAACAACCACUGCCUCUUACUCAGGCAAUAAAUCAUACUUUGAUGAGUCUGUUCCAAGCACCCCUGCUUACCCAGGAAACUUAUUCUCCGAGAAGAAAUCAUUCUUCGACGACAUGGUUCCAAGCACUCCUGCUUAUCCUGGAAGCUCGUUUCCUGAAAAGAAAUCAUUCUUCGAUGACUCAGUUCCAAGCACCCCUGCUUAUCCUGGAAGCGUGUUUCCUGAAAAGAAAUCAUUCUUCGACGACUCUGUCCCAAGCAC
rnacentral:lncRNA from 1 species